UUCCGGUUGAUCCCGCCGGAGGUUACUGCUAUCGAGGUUCGACUAAGCCAUGCGAGUCGAAUGUAGCAAUACAUGGCGUACUGCUCAGUAACACGUGGACAACCUGCCCUUAGGUCGGGAAUAAACCCGGGAAACUGGGUAUAAUACCCGAUAGGUCUCGGCUGCUGGAAUGCACCGAGAUUGAAAGCUCCGGCGCCUAAGGAUGGGUCUGCGGCCUAUCAGGUAGUAGUGGGUGUAGCGUACCUACUAGCCUACGACGGGUACGGGUUGUGAGAGCAAGAGCCCGGAGAUGGAUUCUGAGACACGAAUCCAGGCCCUACGGGGUGCAGCAGGCGCGAAAACUUUACAAUGCUGGCAACAGCGAUAAGGGAACCUCGAGUGCCAGGUUACAAAUCUGGCUGUCGAGAUGCCUAAAAAGCAUUUCAUAGCAAGGGCCGGGCAAGACCGGUG
rnacentral:rRNA from 1 species